CAGAAAGAGAGAGAGAGCCAGUUAGUUGUUAUGGAAAGAAAUAAAAGUUAGCAAGCAAUGGUUUAAUCCGUUCGCUUUAAGGUUGAUUCAUGGUAUUGACUAAAAGGGCCUACAGUUUUUCCAUAGUUGAUUAUUCACAGCAGUCAAGGAAUUCGGUAAAGUAUAAUCACAAAACUCCCCUUAGUCAAUCAUCUCAUUAAGCCAGAAUUAAUCAAUUCAACAAGCAAAAUCCACAUUUGAACACAAGAGUUUCUCCCUCAAUGCUCUUUUCCUCUGCUGGCAGACGAUGUGAAUUCCUGGGUGUUAUAAUCAAAAAUAUGGAGAUACACAUUCAUCUUUUGAACUGUCCCCACCCUAUAAGAAGAAUUUUCUGGAAUUCAUGCAAGAUGCAAAAAGUGCAGGUAUGCAAAACAAACACACAGACGCUCCAUCAUACUUCCAGUUAAUGGGUAACAGGUGAUGAUGGAAGCUGAUCGUGCCAUUGGAAAGUCGUUAAAAUCUCGUCUUUAUGUGGAGAAAGUGAUAGGAGGCAUUUACAUGAGGCAACCAGGCAUGUUGAACACUGCGCUUGAGUGAACUACAGUCUUAGGCACAGGUUGGCACACCCUCCUGAUCUAGUGGCGCCAAAUGCUAUAAACCACCUAAAAAUGGCAAUGGUGGAAAAUGUUCCCUAAAAAAAGGGGAAAGCUUAUAAAAGCACUGAGCGAGGGAGAGAAAGAAGAGUGAAGGAUUAUUUUCCACUGUGUCAGGGAGGUGUCUGGCUUUGGCUUUAGCCCCGUGCUCCUGUCGUGUGAGCCCCAUGCUCCUAUCCUGCCGGCUUAUCUGCCCUGAUCGGAAACGAGGGAUGGAGAGAAGAGAAGGGCGGACAGUACGGUGCAGAUGCAGCUGUCUAAGUCACAGUGAGGCUGGAAACCCGACCCUCAGGAACAUACACCACAAAUUCACAACACAUACUGGCACAGGCUCUAACGUCACUGUAAACAUUCGCUAAAACGUUACAAAAAGGUUCCUUUUGUAAACAUUGAUUAAUAAUGAAGAAUACUUCUAAAGCAUUAUUAAUAUUGGUCAAUUAAAAAUGUAGUAAUACAUUAUA